rnacentral:SRP_RNA from 1 species
UUCUUAGACCUGUGCAACGCUUGUUUUAAGCAUCGCUUCAGGGUAGGAAUACAGCAGAGCACUUUUUACUUGUGUGUGCCGCAGCCAUCUGGGAAGGG